GAUGAACGCUGGCGGCGUGCCUAACACAUGCAAGUCGAGCGAGAAGCUCGUAAGCUGAUCUUCGGAAAGGCGAGCGAGCGGAAAGCGGCGGACGGGUGAGUAACGCGUAGGCAACCUGCCCCAUACAGAGGGAUACCUUCGGGAAACCGGAAUUAAAACCUCAUAAUGCCAUUUGAUCACAUGGUCGGAUGGCCAAAGAUUCAUCGGUAUGGGAUGGGCCUGCGUCUGAUUAGCUAGUUGGUGAGGUAACGGCUCACCAAGGCGACGAUCAGUAGCAGAACUGAGAGGUUCAUCUGCCACAGUGGAACUGAGACACUGGCCAAACUCCUACGGGAGGCAGCAGUGAGGAAUAUUGCACAAUGGGCGAAAGCCUGAUGCAGCAACGGCGCGUGAGUGAUGAAGGCCUUUGGGUCGUAAAACUCUGUCCUUGGGGAAGAAAAAAAUGACGGUACCCUUGGAGGAAGCCCCGGCUAACUACGUGCCAGCCGCCGCAGUAACAC
rnacentral:rRNA from 1 species